rnacentral:rRNA from 1 species
AGGUAGAGAAUACCAAGGCGCUUGAGAGAACUCGGGUGAAGGAACUAGGCAAAAUGGUGCCGUAACUUCGGGAGAAGGCACGCUGAUAUGUAGGUGAAGCCCCUGCGGGCGGAGCUGAAAUCAGUCGAAGAUACCAGCUGGCUGCAACUGUUUAUUAAAAACACAGCACUGUGCAAACACGAAAGUGGACGUAUACGGUGUGACGCCU